rnacentral:lncRNA from 1 species
CCAAUCCUUAACAACCAUUUCUGGAAGCAAAUUCCUCCUGAAUUCCAACCUGAACCUCCUCUGGCACAGCUUGAAGCUGUGUCCUCUCACCCUGGUUGCCUGGGAGAAGAACCCUCACCUUGCUAAAACAUUCUUUUAGCUGGUUGUAAAGAGUGAUAAGGUUUCCCCUGAGCCUCUCUUCUCCAGACUAAACAGCCUCAGUUCCCUCAGCUUCUCCUCAUAUGAAUUACUCUCUAGAUCCUAAAAAGAAAUGUGAGGUUUCACUGGAAGUCAGUGGUACUUAGGCUCUAAAGUUACUUACAUGCAUUUAAAGCUAUAUUCAGUGAUUUGACAAGCAAUUUAUGGAUAAACUAUUAUUUCUAAGCUAAACAGAAUUUCAGGCUAAUUUUAAGAUUAUUCUUAAGUGUCCCUAAAUCUAAUAAGAUAGAUAAGUUCAUCAUUGCACCUAUAAUUAUCCUAAUAUAUUUACAUGUCCUUUUAACACCUGUUUUAGGCUGUUUGCAGUGUUCUUAAUAAAAAGUUAGAUAUGAUCUGUGUACUGUCAGAACGACUCCACACCAUGCACGCCUAUGUAUAUAUAUACACACAUCAUUCCAUUUCACUAACUGCUUUUACUGUUGUGUAAAAAAGCUUCUUUACUUUCUAGAAAUGGAAUCUGUUCUCAUUCUUCACAGGAAUGACUACCUCUCCCUCCUAGAAAAAUGGUGGAACUGGUAACCCAGAGCUUGCUUGGGAUGUGGAUAUCUGUUAAAGGCCUUCCUUUAAAUCAGGGACCUGAUUUCAGAUCUGCCUCCUAUGGAAAUAUACCCACAACAAAACUCCUGAAUAUAUUGCAGUGGGCAUCUCAGUCUCUUCUGCAACAGCCCCACACACUGCAACAGGUAUGUGACCACAAAUCUGCCUCUUUCAAGCUGUUAGACUUUGCCAGAGGUUGUGCUCGGAAUGUGCUUCCCAUCCUGUCACUUACCCACAAUGUUCAACUCCACUCUGAACUCCAGGACCUCCUUUGGGUGUUCUUUUACAAGAGCUACAGCUUCUGUGUGUGAAGGACUUGGAUUUCUAAAAGCAUAACCCUAAAGGAUCCAAAAGGACAGAGAAAAUGGGACUUCUAAUGCAAGAGGCAGAAUGAAGAAUACUCAGAACCUCUCUGUACUUAAAGAAGGUGAUGCCAUAUGAUAGUUUCACUGCACUGGACAUCCUUUUUGCCUGAAAAACUAAUUUUGUUAGAAAUUUAACUGGAAAUGACUUCUCUCUGGUAUCUUAAUUUCCUUGCAUUAAUUGGAAGCUGCUAUGUGGAAUUGUGUGUGUUAAUGUAUUUGGGGCCUUUAUUGCAGAUGCUCUGUGCUUAACUUGCAUGAGGAGUGGGCAAUUUCUCUUGCACUUUUUCUGAAUUCCUUUGGUGAAAACACUAGAAAUUUUGAUAGUACUUGACAGGCCUGGAAUAAAUGCAAUAAAAAUCAGCUCUUUAGUUUUAUA